rnacentral:pre_miRNA from 1 species
AGCACAAUUGCAAGAUUGUAUGGUACAAGUAUAUUUAAUUUUGUAAGAAACUGCCAAAUUGUCUUUCAAAGUGACUCUACCAGUUUGCAUUCCCACCAGUAAU